rnacentral:rRNA from 1 species
GAUGAACGCUGGCGGCGUGCCUAAUACAUGCAAGUCGAGCGAAGGGACGCUGGUCUUGCUACUCUGAUGUUUGCGGCGCGCGGGUGAGUGACACGUGUAUAACCUCCCUAUCAGACUCGGAUAACUUCGGUAGACAGGAUAUCAAACCGGAGAAUAUUGUAAACCUCGUGUUUCAGAAGUGAAAGAGUGUGUUGCUCUAACAUAUUGAUAUAUCCGCGCUGCAUUAGCUAGUUGGUAAGGUAACGGCUUACCAAGGCAACGAUGCAUAGCCGACCUGAGAGGGUGAUCGGCCACACUGGAACUGAGACACGGUCCAGACUCCUACGGGAGGCAGCAGUAGGGAAUCUUCCGCAAUGGGCGAAAGCCUGACGGAGCAACGCCGCGUGAGUGAUGAAGGAUUUCGGAUCGUAAAGCUCUGUUGUUAGGGAAGAACAGAUGUGUAAUUAAUAGAGAACAAAGUGACGGUACCUAACCAGAAAGCCACGGCUAACUACGUG